UUCCUAAACCCACUGCUCGCCAGAGAACUACAAGUAAAAACUUAAAACUCAAAGGACUUGACGGCAUACCAUAUCACCCUAGAGGAGCCUGUCCUAUAAUCGAUAACCCACGCUACACCUCACCUGUUCUUGCACUAUGCUCAGCCUAUAUACCGCCGCCUUCAGCCCGCCUUACAAAAGCACAAACAGCGAGCAAAACAGCCACCACUAACACGCCAGGUCAAGGUGUAGCCAACGAACAGGAAGAGAUGGGCUACAUUUUCUAACUUAGACAACACCGACAGCAACAUGAAACACCCGCCUAAAGGUGGAUUUAGAAGUAAGCCAGGCAAGAUAUGCCUGACUGAACCUAGCUCUGGAAUGCGUACACACCGCCCGUCACCCCCUCCUCAA
rnacentral:rRNA from 1 species